ensembl:lncRNA
GGCUGGAAGGGUUGAGCUAGAUGGGAACACCAUUGAUUAGGCUGGAGUGGUUGAUGUAGAUUGGAGCACCAUGGAGGAUCCUGAAGGGGUUGAUCUAGAUGGGAGGAUCCUGGAGGCUCCUGGAGGGGUUGAGCUAGAGGGGAGCACCAUGGAGUAUCCUGGAGGGGUUGGGCUAGAUGGGAGCACCAUGGAGGAUCCUGGAGGGGUUGAGCUAGAUGGGAGCACCAUGGAGGAGCCUGCAGUGGUUGAUCUAGAUGGGAACACCAUGGAGGCAACACAAGGUGAAAACAGGCUACACAAGCAGGUCGCUCUCCGCCUGACUCUCCACGAUCUUCUUCAUCUGAUGAGGAGUAUGAAAGAUCGGACCAAAACGCAGCGUGUUGUGAUGGCAUCGACUGGGAUGAUGGAAUUGGUGCUGACGAGAGUGUUGCUGAUAAGACCUGGUGUUCCACAAAGGAAUCACAGGUGACUGAAGAUUCUGAUGAAGAGGAAUCUGACAAGUUUGAAGAUUCUGAUGAAGAGGAGUCUGACAAGUUUGAAUAUUCUGGGGACAGCAGCUUGGACGAACAACACAUUCCUUCCCUUUGUGUGAAACACUCCUCCAUCCACAGACACUCCUCCAUCCACAGACACACCUCCACCCGCAGACGCUCCUCCAUCCACAGACGCUCCUCCAUCCACAGACGCUCCUCCAUCCACAGACGCUCCUCCAUCCACAGACGCUCCUCCAUCCACAGACGCUCCUCCAUCCACAGACGCUCCUCCAUCCACAGACGUGCCUCCACCUACAGACGCUGCUCCACCCAUAGACGCUCCUCCAUCCACAGAUGCUCCUCCACCCACAUACGCUCCUCCAUCCACAGACGCUCCUCCAUCCACAGACGCUCCUCCAUCCACAGACGCUCCUCCAUCCACAGACGCUCCUCCAUCUACAGACGCUACUCCACCCACAGACGCUCCUCCAUCCACAGACGCUCCUCCACCCACAUACGCUCCUCCAUCCACAGACGCUCCUCCAUCCACAGUCGCUCCUCCAUCCACAGACGCUCCUCCAUCCACAGACGCACCUCCAUCCACAGACGCUGCUCCAUCCACAGACGCUCUUCCAUCCAGACGCUCCUCCAUCCACAGACGCUCCUCCAUCCACAGACGCACCUCCAUCCACGACGCUCCUCCACCCACAGACGCUCCUCCAUCCACAGACACACCUCCAUCCACAGACGCACCUCCAUCCACGACGCUCCUCCACCCACAGACGCUCCUCCAUCCACAGACGCUCCACCAUCCACAUACGCUCCUCCAUCCACAGACACUCCUCCAUCCACAGACGCUCCUCCAUCCACAGAUGCACCUCCAUCCACAGACGCACCUCCAUCCACAGACGCACCUCCAUCCACAGACGCUCCUCCACCCACAGACGCUCCUCCAUCCACAGUCGCUCCUCCAUCCAGACGCACCUCCAUCCACAGACACACCUCCAUCUGCAGACACACCUCCAUCCACAGAUGCUCCUCCAUCCACAGACACACCUGACCCACAUCAACUGAUUUGCGAGGAUGACAUCAUGUCACUUAUGAAGUCAGUUUAAUACAUCUGACAAACUGUCUUGUGCUACCUGUGGAUCAGUGCCUGUUCCACAACCAUGGAACAGGUGAAGAUUGCCAUGGCCUUCCUCUCUUUGAGGUCCACUUCAGUUUGAGAGGCACAGGAAGCAUCAUUGAAUGGGUCAGUUAAUCCAAUCCUAACAUGGGUUUGUUGUACUUCUCAACAUGCACGCAAUGAAGGAUGUCACAGACUUGUAUCUUUGAACUUCCUAUGCUAUUUAGACAUUGGUUGGCAUCCACCCAAGUAAGGAUGCUUGCGCAAAUGUGUUUGUUCAAAAAAAGCUGUAACUUGGUAAUAGUAUACAAUUUUAUGGUAUAUUUUGGAUAUAAUAAUGUAAUAUUUAGGUUAUUUUUAGUAUAUAUUUUCAUCCAGGUUGUGUCUCAGAGUGAAAGCACUGCCAGCAAUCAAAAGUGACCAAAACAUCAGCCAGGAAGCAUAGGAACUGAGAAGUGGUCUGUGGUCCCCAUCUGCAGAACCACUCCUUUAUUGGGGGUGUCUUGCUAUAAUUUACACCUGUUGUCUAUUCCAUUUGCACAACAGCAUGUGAAAUUUAUUGUCAAUCAGUGUUGCUUCCUAAGUGGACAGUUUGAUUUCACAGAAGUGUGAUUGACUUGGAGUUACAUUGUGUUGUUUAAGUGUUUUUGAGCAGUGUACAUUUAAACUCAGUUUUUCACAAUUCCUGAUAUUUAAUUCUAGUAAAAAUUCCAUGUC